rnacentral:rRNA from 1 species
UGGCUCAGGAUGAACGCUGGCGGCGUGCCUAACACAUGCAAGCCGAACGAGCGAGAGAUGAAACCUAGUGAUUCUCGAGCGAGUGGCGGACGGGUGAGUAACGCGUGGGUAACCUGCCUUACAGAGGGGGAUAACAGUCUGAAAAGACUGCUAAUACCGCAUAAGCACACAGUACCGCAUGGUACAGGGUGAAAAGAUUUAUCACUGUAAGAUGGACCCGCGUCUGAUUAGCCAGUUGGCAGGGUAACGGCCUACCAAAGCGACGAUCAGUAGCCGGCCUGAGAGGGUGAUCGGCCACAUUGGGACUGAGACACGGCUCAAACUCCUACGGGAGGCAGCAGUGGGGAAUA